UCCCCUAGUAACGGCGAGUGAACCGGGAAGAGCUCAAAUUUGAAAUCUGGCGUCCUCAGGGCGUCCGAGUUGUAAUCUAUAGAGGCGUUUUCCGUGCCGGACCGUGUCCAAGUCCCUUGGAACAGGGUAUCAAAGAGGGUGACAAUCCCGUACUUGACACGAUGACCGGUGCUCUGUGAUACGUCUUCUACGAGUCGAGUUGUUUGGGAAUGCAGCUCAAAAUGGGUGGUGAGUUCCAUCUAAAGCUAAAUAUUGGCGAGAGACCGAUAGCGAACAAGUACCGUGAGGGAAAGAUGAAAAGCACUUUGGAAAGAGAGUUAAACAGUACGUGAAAUUGUUGAAAGGGAAACGAUUGAAGUCAGUCGUGACUGUUGGGCUCAGCCAGCUCUGCUGGUGUAUUCCCUUCAGUCGGGUCAACAUCAGUUUUGACCGGUGGAUAAUGGCAGCAGGAAUGUGGCACCCUCGGGUGUGUUAUAGCCUGUCGUCGCAUACAUCGGUUGAGACUGAGGAACGCAGCUCGCCUUUAUGGCCGGGGUCGCCCACGUCCGAGCUAC
rnacentral:rRNA from 1 species